rnacentral:rRNA from 1 species
UACGUAGGUGGCGAGCGUUGUCCGGAUUUACUGGGCGUAAAGGGAGCGUAGGCGGACUUUUAAGUGAGAUGUGAAAUACCCGGGCUCAACUUGGGUGCUGCAUUUCAAACUGCAGAUCUUGAGUGCUGGAGAGGAUAGUGGAAUUCCUGGUGUAGCGGUAAAAUGCGUAGAGAUCAGGAGGAACACCAGUGGCGAAGGCGGCUAUCUGGACAGUAACUGACGCUGAGGCGCGAAAGCGUGGGGAGCAAACAGGAUUAGAUA